rnacentral:rRNA from 1 species
UACGUAGGGGGCAAGCGUUGUCCGGAUUUACUGGGCGUAAAGGGCUCGUAGGUGGCCAACUAAGUCAGACGUGAAAUCCCUCAGCUUAACUGGGGAACUGCGUCUGAUACUGGAUGGCUUGAGUUUGGGAGAGGGAUGCGGAAUUCCAGGUGUAGCGGUGAAAUGCGUAGAUAUCUGGAGGAACACCGGUGGCGAAGGCGGCAUCCUGGACCAACACUGACACUGAGGAGCGAAAGCCAGGGGAGCAAACGGG